UCUAUUCUUGUUCUCGGCAAUCUCCACCAUACGACCCCAUUUGUCAAUGCUGCCAGCCUCAAUAGCCUCUCAUGCAUCCUUCAAAGAAGACAUGGGUGCCCUAGUUUUCUUCAUUUCAUCAACAAUAGAUAAGGCUUGGAACAAUGUUCCAACCUCCUUCUCAACAUCAACAUAAGUGAAAGAUGACAGAUGGCUCACCAGCAAUG
rnacentral:lncRNA from 1 species